rnacentral:rRNA from 1 species
UACGGAGGGUGCAAGCGUUACUCGGAAUCACUGGACGUAAAGAGCGUGUAGGCGGGUGAAUAAGUCAGAAGUGAAAUCCAAUAGCUCAACUAUUGAACUGCUUUUGAAACUGUAUACCUAGAAUGUGGGAGAGGCAGAUGGAAUUUCUGGUGUAGGGGUAAAAUCCGUAGAGAUCAGAAGGAAUACCGAUUGCGAAGGCGAUCUGCUGGAACAUUAUUGACGCUGAGACGCGAAAGCGUGGGGAGCAAACAGGAUUAGAUACCCUGGUAGUCCACGCCCUAAACGAUGUACACUAGUUGUUGUGAGGCUCGACCUUGCAGUAAUGCAGUUAACACAUUAAGUGUACCGCCUGGGGAGUACGGUCGCAAGAUUAAAACUCAAAGGAAUAGACGGGGAUCCGCACAAGCGGUGGAGCAUGUGGUUUAAUUCGACGAUACACGAAGAACCUUACCUGGACUUGACAUAGUAAGAACUUUCUAGAGAUAGAUUGGUGUCUGCUUGCAGAAACUUAUAUACAGGUGCUGCACGGCUGUCGUCAGCUCGUGUCGUGAGAUGUUGGGUUAAGUCCCGCAACGAGCGCAACCCUCGUCAUUAGUUGCUAACAGCUUGGCUGAGAACUCUAAUGAGACUGCCUACGCAAGUAGGAGGAAGGUGAGGACGACGUCAAGUCAUCAUGGCCCUUACGUCCAGGGCUACACACGUGCUACAAUGGGGCAUACAAAGAGCAGCAAUACCGUGAGGUGGAGCAAAUCUCAAAAAUGUUUCUCAGUUCGGAUUGUAGUCUGCAACUCGACUACAUGAAGUUGGAAUCGCUAGUAAUCGUAGAUCAGCUAUGCUACGGUGAAUACGUUCCCGGGUCU